CGGACGGGUGAGUAAUGUCUGGGAAACUGCCUGAUGGAGGGGGAUAACUACUGGAAACGGUAGCUAAUACCGCACAACGUCGCAAGACCAAAGAGGGGGACCUUAGGGCCUCUUGCCAUCGGAUGUGCCCAGAUGGGAUUAGCUAGUAGGUGGGGUAACGGCUCACCUAGGCGACGAUCCCUAGCUGGUCUGAGAGGAUGACCAGCCACACUGGAACUGAGACACGGUCCAG
rnacentral:rRNA from 1 species